AUGAUUGCAUUCAGAGAUACUCUAGAGAUCUGUGGCCUGGUUGAUCUUGGUUUUUCUGGCAUACCAUUUGCUUAUGACAAUCUGCGAGCGGGAGCAGCCAAUGUGAAAGUGCGGCUGGAUAGAGCUACAGCUACAAAUGACUGGCGCAAUCUUUUCCCGUUCUACUCUGUACAGCAUGUAGUUUCGCCCUGCUCUGACCAUGUGGCACUGGUACUUAAAGGGAUCCCGGACUCGGGUCAGCAGGGUCCCAAGGCCAGGCGUUAUGAAAUUUUCUGGGAAAGGGACAUCUCGCUACCGGAGGUGAUUAAGGAAGCUUGGGAGUCCGUGGGCAGUGUAGACAACCUGGAAAAACUUCAAACAGGCCUGAGCAAGACCCUAGCUACGCUAAGUGUAUGGGGUAAUAAA
rnacentral:rRNA from 1 species